CACCAAGAUGGUUUCUUUUGUACUUUUUUAAGCCUUAUGGUAUCUUUUACUUCAAUGUAAACAAUCAGAGUCUGAUAGAGGGUACCUAGAUUGAAGGGCAAAACAGCUAACAGUGCUAGCACUCAGCAAAAAUGCAUUAGUACAUUCUGGAUGAGAUGGGAAGAAGCUUUUCUAUACAUCUGAAACCUUUCCAGAACCAGACACUAUUGGAAAAGAAGACUUCUGCAACUACAAUUUUGUCUUGGACUUUGUGCAGCCCUGCUCAACAUGCAGCCCACGUGGGCUCACUGUGCAGCCCAUGGGCAAGCAGCAGGUUGGAGCUGCUGGGUUCGCCAUGUUCCAGCCGCCCUAACAGCCAGGACCACAUGUGUCUCCAUCUCCUGCUCCCCGCGCUUGGCGUACAGCAUGUGAGUCACUUCCGGGGCCUGCUGAGGCAGGAAGCACUGAGCACAAGACAAAGCCGGUUAACAAUAAGGCACAGCAGGAUGAGUCACAACAACUGCAUUCUAUUCUUGACUCCACCAUAGAUUUUCAGUGUAACCUGGAAUAACAUCUCCUCUAGGAUGGGACAUAUUCAGAGACUGAACCUGUGACUUCUGGAUCUCCGUGAGCUUUUAAUGCCUGACUAAAGAAUCACAUCAAUUAGCUUGAAGUAGAGCUGAUUGAAAUAUAA